rnacentral:rRNA from 1 species
UGCCAGCCGCCGCGGUAAUACUGAAGGUGCAAGCGUUAAUCGGAAUCACUGGGCGUAAAGCGCGCGUAGGCGGAUCAGAAAGUUGGGGGUGAAAUCCCGGGGCUCAACCUCGGAACUGCCUUCAAAACUCCUGGUCUUGAGUUCGAGAGAGGUGAGUGGAAUUCCGAGUGUAGAGGUGAAAUUCGUAGAUAUUCGGAGGAACACCAGUGGCGAAGGCGGCUCACUGGCUCGAUACUGACGCUGAGGUGCGAAAGUGUGGGGAGCAAACAGGAUUAGAUA